CAUUAUAGAGAGCUACGGCUCCCUGUAUGCUAUUACCACAAUGAUAUUCAAUUCCAUGUUGCUUCCACCUCCUAACCGGUGGUGGGGGGUUUUUUCAUACUAUUCUAUUUACUUAGGCUUUUAAUAUGUCUGAAUAUGAGGGAAAAUGUUACAAAACUUUCAACAACGGAUCUCUUGGCUCCUGCAUCGAUGAAGAACGCAGCGAAAUGCGAUAAUUAAUGUGAAUUGCAGAAUUCCGUGAAUCAUCGAGUCUUUGAACGCACAUUGCGCCUCAUGGCAUUCCGUGAGGCAUGCCCAUCUCAGCGUUAGUAAAUAUCAUCAAAUUUCGGCAUUGUGCCAAAGUUUGGAUUAUGUCAAGGAAGCUAUUACUAUUAACAUGUAUAGCUCUUUGGAAAUUAAUAGGUCUUCAAGUGGCUAUCAUUGAAACGUGAUGAAAAUUACUUCGUUCAAAUGUAGUUAACUUGUAUAGCCCUGAAAUUUAUAUACCAUUUUGGUAUUUUGAAAUUUGACCUGAGAUUGGGUAGGGAUACCCGCUGAACUUAAGCAUAUCAAA
rnacentral:rRNA from 1 species